rnacentral:lncRNA from 1 species
UUUUUCUUUUCUGUGGUAUUGUUUGUAUCCAAUAAACCAACCUGGCAAAUAAAAUUGCUGGGUAGAGGGGCAGCUUGAUGUCACUGCCCUUUUGUUCAAAUGGGGUAUAUAGGAAACAGAAAGACUUGUUUAUGAUUGUGCAACAGGGCUUUUCUCCACAAGAGAUAGAUGUGUGUCAGGGCCUUUCACAGAGUUGGUUUUAUUAAUUGUUUGCAUCGUAAAUAUUGGCAUUCUGGGGACCUCAGUAAUGAGCCUGUUGGCUCACUUUCAUGGACAAUUGUUCAACAUUUUCUACCACAACAAAAAGAAAAAAAAGAAAGAAAAAACAACCUACAGUGUAGGAUUUACAUAUUAAAGACACAUUUGUCUAAAACAUACUCUACAGUUAAAAAAGAGAGAGAGACAGAAAGAGCACAAAAAUCUUUUCUCUCCAAGACAAUCUGUUUGUAACAAGAGACUGUUAAUCUUUAAAAGAAAAAGAAACUGAUGGAGAAAAAUUGUGCUUCAAUAGACUUUCUAUAUUGAGGUAAUAGAUCUUUUCUUCACUAGAGAAAAAUAACCUUUAGCUGACAUGAACCAGUAACUUCUUUAAAAAAAAAAAAAAAAAAAAAAUUGUUCUCUCUUCCCUCCCAUACUUUAAUGACCACACUAAAGAACACUUUAAGAAAAAAAAAAAAAAGAUAGGGUCACUAUUUGGUGGACAUUUCAGUGUGAACUAUAGAAUUUUGAAAUUAAAUCAGUUAGUCCAUCACCCCCAAUUUACAAAUGAUGAAAAUAAGGCCCACACAAUCUGCAUGCUAUUUAUAAUUCACACUUUUUUUUUUUGCCUCAUUUAGCCAACACUGAAAAAAAUACAAAAGUUCCCAUACAUAGUAGUUUUUAUUAAGUAAUAUUGCUAUAGGCCAAAGGUCAUAGGUUAGGAUGGACAAAACCACUUAUAAGAAAGAAAUUCAAGCACAAACCCAAUAUUGAAGGUCUUGUUGGAAGGGAAAAAAUAAUCUGAUGUUUCAUGUUUUAAGAGUAUUUUUGCAAUGCAUAUGAUUAUUAUAUAUUGAGUUUCCUAGCUUCUGGAAUCUUCAUCUCUAAAGACAUUGUAAAUAUAUUAAUUUCAUUUUAAAAAUUAAAUUGGGAUUUAUCUAAAGAUUUUGUCCUCUGAUUUCCUCCCUCUCCCAUCCUCCACUCCUGCUACACUUCAGUUACAAUGUGAUACUCUUCAUCAUUUGGCUUGAUGGGCCUUUUCUUUCCAUAUAGUGAAUAUUUUUGGCUUAUCACUUUUGUAGCAAAUCCCUUCUAAGCAGGUAAGGUAAUUUCAUUCUGAAGUCCACCAUCCUUUUUAGUGGAAAGAUAUGUUUCACCACUUGGGUGCUACCCUACAAGAAGCCAAAGUUUGAAUCUAAAUGGAAUUUUAGAUUAAGUGGAAAUUAUAAAAGUAUUGCUAAAGGAAACUCAC